GCCGGAGUGGCGAAAUUGGUAGCACGCACCUGACUCAAAAUCAGGCGGUCGCGAGACCAUGGGGGUUCGAGUCCCCCCUCCGGCA
rnacentral:tRNA from 1 species